UUUUUUUUAUUAAAUUAUUAGUUUAUUAAGAAUAUUUCACUUACAAUGAAAAGGAUAAUAAUUUU
rnacentral:tRNA from 1 species